GAACAAUCCCAUCAGCAACCAGACUCAACAUCUGGACAUCACUCACCUCUGUCACACAUGUUCAGAUCAAGGUCUACCUUUAUUGUACACAGUGCUGAUCUCUGCUGCUGGAUCUCUGUUGAUUGUAGCUGUGGUUGGGAUGUUCUGGAUCUGCAAGAAAUGUAGAAAAACAGUCAAAACCCAGGAGGAAGACAGAACUGAUUCAUCAAUGCUUAAAAAAACACGGAAAAUGGUAAGAUGUUGCAAGAAGUUGUUGCAGUCAGUUAGUUUGAAGUUUGCAGCAUCAGACGUGUGUGGUUUAUCAACGCUGUCAUUAAUGUUCCUGUGGUUUAUAUU